rnacentral:tRNA from 1 species
UCCAGGGUAGCCUAGUGGACAUGGCAUCUGCCCGGUAAGCGGAACAAUGUAGGUUCGAUUCCCAUCCCUGGAC